rnacentral:lncRNA from 10 species
UUCCUUUGGCAGUCUGCUGAAUUCUAUAGGCUGCUUCUCAGAACAGUGUUUUCAAUGUAUAACUAUAAUAAAAGUACACAGGGCUACAAAGAAAGCCAAUAACUAAAUAACAUUCCCAAAAUAGUAAUCUAAAAUUGGAGACAAAGUAAUAGGUAUGUAUAUUAGUCUGUUUUCAUACUGCUGAUAAAGACAUACCUGAGGCUGGGCAAUUUACAAAAGAAAGAGGUUUACAAUUCCACAUGGCUGGGGAGGCCUCACAAUCAUGGCAGAAGGCAAGGAGGAGCAAGUCAC